CCGUAACUAUAACGGUCCUAAGGUAGCGAAAUUCCUUGUCGGGUAAGUUCCGACCUGCACGAAUGGCGUAAUGAUGGCCAGGCUGUCUCCACCCGAGACUCAGUGAAAUUGAACUCGCUGUGAAGAUGCAGUGUACCCGCGGCAAGACGGAAAGACCCCGUGAACCUUUACUAUAGCUUGACACUGAACAUUGAGCCUUGAUGUGUAGGAUAGGUGGGAGGCUUUGAAGUGUGGACGCCAGUCUGCAUGGAGCCGACCUUGAAAUACCACCCUUUAAUGUUUGAUGUUCUAACGUGGACCCGUUACCCGGGUUGCGGACAGUGUCUGGUGGGUAGUUUGACUGGGGCGGUCUCCUCCUAAAGAGUAACGGAGGAGCACGAAGGUUGGCUAAUCCUGGUCGGACAUCAGGAGGUUAGUGCAAUGGCAUAAGCCAGCUUGACUGCGAGCGUGACGGCGCGAGCAGGUGCGAAAGCAGGUCAUAGUGAUCCGGUGGUUCUGAAUGGAAGGGCCAUCGCUCAACGGAUAAAAGGUACUCCGGGGAUAACAGGCUGAUACCGCCCAAGAGUUCAUAUCGACGGCGGUGUUUGGCACCUCGAUGUCGGCUCAUCACAUCCUGGGGCUGAAGUAGGUCCCAAGGGUAUGGCUGUUCGCCAUUUAAAGUGGUACGCGAGCUGGGUUUAGAACGUCGUGAGACAGUUCGGUCCCUAUCUGCCGUGGGCGCUGGAGAACUGAGGGGGGCUGCUCCUAGUACGAGAGGACCGGAGUGGACGCAUCACUGGUGUUCGGGUUGUCAUGCCAAUGGCACUGCCCGGUAGCUAAAUGCGGAAGAGAUAAGUGCUGAAAGCAUCUAAGCACGAAACUUGCCCCGA
rnacentral:rRNA from 7 species